AUCGAACGCUGGCGGCAUGCUUAACACAUGCAAGUCGAGCGGAGCGGCGGACGGGUGAGUAAUGCCUAGGAAUCUGCCUGGUAGUGGGGGAUAACGUCCGGAAACGGGCGCUAAUCCCGCAUACUUUCAGAUGAGCCUAGGUCGGAUUAGCUAGUUGGUGGGGUAAAGGCCUACCAAGGCGACGAUCCGUAACUGGUCUGCUAGGAUGAUCAGUCAAACUGGAACUGAGACACGGUCCAGACGCCUACGGGAGGCAGCCGUGUGGAAUAUUGGACAAUGGGCGAAAGCCUGAUCGAGCCAUGCCGCGUGUGUGAAUAAGGUCUUCGGAUUGUAAGGCUCUUAAAGUUGGGAGGCGUUACCAACAGAAUAAGCACCGGCUAACUUCGUGCCAGCAGCCGCGGUAAUUC
rnacentral:rRNA from 1 species